GAAAGCGCCGGCCUUUGGCGGGCGCGGUUCAGGUUAACGAGGAGGAGAGUAAUCGAAAUUUCGGCGGAUGCUCUCCCGUACCGCUUCCAGUGCGAGAUAUACCGGCAAAUAUGCGGGUAACUGCAAAACAAAUACGGUAUAA
rnacentral:ncRNA from 1 species